rnacentral:lncRNA from 12 species
AUGGAUUCAGAAUACUACUGGCUUAGCCACAGCUCUAACAAGCUGUCUCCAACCUCCCUUCAGAAAACACCUCAGACUCAUUCUUCUGUGCAAGGAGCCCGACUUGCAGAGUCCAAAGGAAUGCUGGAACACUGGGUCCUAUCAGAUGGACACAGAAGGAUGAUGCAUCGUUGGCCUAAAGAAAAGGGAAUCUGGUUCAACUCCUUAGAACUGCCAACUUUGGCUCAGAGCCAGAGCCUCAGGACAACUUGGUACAGGUACUUAUUCAUUACGUUCUUUUUUUUUUUUUUUUUGGCCUUCGAAGAGAUAUCAUCAAAGUCUGGGGAGGCAGCCACAUAAUUUCUUUCUUUCUCAUUACUGCUAUGGCAUCUCAGAUUUCUUUGCUAUUCUAGACCAACAGCACUGAUGAUGUGUCCAUAGCUCCCAUCUAGAAGUUUUUCUACAUAGCAGGCUGAAAGAAAAGAUAAAGGUGGUUCUGCUAUCGGAGAGUAUGGUAGGGAAAAGGAGCUAAUAUGGCUUCCCCAGGACUUGGACUUCUCUAGGACUUUCAUGGAGUUCUUUGGGAUGGUGACCAACAAGGCUGGCAGCCUCGUGGGAGUAUAUCACGAGAGUCUAGAAGUAGCCAGUAUGAAAGCUUCUGUCUCUUCUAAGGUCACUGGAGCAGAUUAAGAUCUCUAAUUCAGCAUGACUUGACUCUGUUGCUCAAGAUGCAAGUCUCAUUCACUUCCUGCUUCUUUCUUCUAAUCAGCCAGCACAAUUAGGAUGGGGUUUCUGACCUCAAAUAUGUCACAGUUCCACUGCACAGGUCAGUUUUCUUAAAGACUCUUCCCCUGUUUCCCAGUACACAACUUGACAGUCCUUUCUGUCCCUACAUUUUGGUCUUGGCGCUUGUGGCUGCCAUUCCCACCAUCCUGAUGAGAUGAAAGGCGGGUGCCUCUGUGUGUGUGUGUGCACACGCACGUGAACAUACACCCAUGAGGAGUCGGCCUUUCUUUUUUGUAUGGUCCACUCAUGCACCAAAGUAGCAAACUAUGCUGUAGUUGUGCAAGAAUAGCUCCAUUUGUCAUUGGGGAACUCUAGGGUAAAGCCACAAAAUGUGCUCCUCCACCUGUUGGCCCUCAAAGGGAAGGAUGCAAAUUCUUGUGUAUUUUUGGUUUCCCUUCAUGAUAGGAGAGGUAAAGAGCCGGACAGGAAUGCAUUUUGCUGCUAUGUUGUCCUCUUUUUUUUUUUUUUUUUUUUUUCAGAAUUGCCAAAUUCUCAAUAAAAAAUUAAAUUCUGAGCCA